rnacentral:rRNA from 1 species
UACGUAGGGGGCCAGCGUUGUCCGGAAUCAUUGGGCGUAAAGAGCGUGUAGGCGGCUCGAUAAGUCCGCUGUGAAAGUCCAGGGCUCAACCCUGGAAGGCCGGUGGAAACUGUCGGGCUAGAGUCCGGAAGAGGCGAGUGGAAUUCCCGGUGUAGCGGUGAAAUGCGCAGAUAUCGGGAGGAACACCAAUGGCGAAGGCAGCUCGCUGGGACGGUACUGACGCUGAGACGCGAAAGCGUGGGGAGCGAACAGG